AACGAACGCUGGCGGCAGGCCUAACACAUGCAAGUCGAACGAACCCUUCGGGGUGAGUGGCGCACGGGUGCGUAACACGUGGGAAUAUACACAUAGGUAAGGAAUAACUCAGGGAAACUUGCGCUAAUACCUUAUAAUAACUCCGGUUCAAAGAUUUAUCGCCUAUGGAUUAGCCCGCGCUAGAUUAGUUUGUGGUGAGGUAAGAGCUCACCAAGACUACGAUCUAUAGCUGGUCUUAGAGGAUGAUCAGCCACACUGGAACUGAGACACGGUCCAGACUCCUACGGGAGGCAGCAGUGAGGAAUAUUGCGCAAUGGAGGAAACUCUGACGCAGCCAUGCCGCGUGAAUGAAGAAGGCCUUAGGGUUGUAAAAUCUUUCAGAUGCGAAGAUAAUGACGGUACCAUCAGAAGAAGCUCCGGCUAAAUUCGUGCCAGCAGCCGCGGU
rnacentral:rRNA from 1 species